GUGUGGGGAUGGCAUGUUUCAAGGAUGCAGAGGAAUGACUCAAUCUGACAUCCAAAAGUUGACGCAGAAUAUUUUUCAGUAAAAAUUCCCAAAACAAGAGCGUUUGUUUUGGUGGCUCGUGUCUGCGUGGAUGGACAUAAUUUUGGAAGGAAGUGGGCCUGACAGAUGUUGGUGUCUCUCUGGAAGCGCGGUGACGCUCCGAAUCUCUUCUGUGGUUGACAUGGGAUUGUGGGAUGACGUCCUUUCUUUGUGUGCCAAGAACUGUGUGGAUAUGAAGCCAAACUAGCUUCGGUCAUUAAAGAAGGCAGAGAAUGUUAGAACACAAAAAUGUUACGAGAUCGUAUGCAUGUCCAAUGAUGCCUGAGACUGAAAGCUGGUAAUUUCCUC